rnacentral:rRNA from 1 species
UACGUAGGUGGCAAGCGUUGUCCGGAUUUACUGUUCGUAACUUUUGCGUAGGCGGAUACUUAAGUGGGAUGUGAAACACCUGGGCUUAACUUGGGUGCUGCAUUCCAAACUGGGUGUCUAGAGUGUUGGAGAGGAAAGUGGAAUUCCUAGUGUAGCGGUGAAAUGCGUAGAGAUUAGGAAGAACACCAGUGGCGAAGGCGACAUUCUGGACAAUAACUGACGCUGAGGCUCGAAAGCGUGGGGAGCAAACAGGAUUAGAUACCCUGGUAGUCCACACCGUAAACGAUGGGUACUAGGUGUAGGAGGUAUCGACUCCUCCUGUGCCGCCGUUAACACAAUAAGUACCCCGCCUGGGGAGUACGGUCGCAAGAUUAAA